GGAAUUGUGGCUCAGUGGUAGAGUGCUUGUCUUGCAUGCGUGGGGCACUGGGUUCGAUCCUCAGCACCA
rfam:Ictidomys tridecemlineatus contig028653, whole genome shotgun sequence.